GUCCUUGUAGCUUAGCGGUUAAAGCGACGGCCUCAUAAGCCGUGGAGCGGGAGUUCGAAUCUCCCCAGGGACA
rnacentral:tRNA from 1 species